UACGAAGGGGGCUAGCGUUGCUCGGAAUCACUGGGCGUAAAGGGCGCGUAGGCGGUUCUAUAAGUCAGGCGUGAAAUUCCUGGGCUUAACCUGGGGGCUGCGCUUGAGACUGUGGGACUUGAGGUCAGAAGAGGGUCGUGGAAUUCCCAGUGUAGAGGUGAAAUUCGUAGAUAUUGGGAAGAACACCGGUGGCGAAGGCGGCGACCUGGUCUGAUACUGACGCUGAGGGGCGAAAGCGUGGGGAGCGAACAGG
rnacentral:rRNA from 1 species